GAUGAACGCUGGCGGCGUGCCUAAUACAUGCAAGUCGAACGCACAGCGAAAGGUGCUUGCAUCUUUCAAGUGAGUGGCGAACGGGUGAGUAACACGUGGAUAACCUACCUCAAGGUUGGGGAUAACAUUUGGAAACAGAUGCUAAUACCGAAUAAAACUUCGUAUCGCAUGAUACAAGGUUAAAAGGCGCUACGGGCGUCACCUAGAGAUGGAUCCGCGGUGCAUUAGUUAGUUGGUGGGUAAAGGCCUACCAAGACAAUGAUGCAUAGCCGAGUUGAGAGACUGAUCGGCCACAUUGGGACUGAGACACGGCCCAAACUCCUACGGGAGGCUGGCAGUAGGGAAUCUUCCACAAUGGGCGAAAGCCUGAUGGAGCAACGCCGCGUGUGUGAUGAAGGCUUUC
rnacentral:rRNA from 1 species